rnacentral:rRNA from 1 species
UACAGGGGGUGCAAACGUUGCUCGGAAUCACUGGGCGUAAAGCGCACGUAGGCGGAUGUGUCAGUCAGGGGUGAAAUCCCGGGGCUCAACCUCGGAACUGCCUUUGAUACAGCACGUCUCGAGUCCGGAAGAGGUGGGUGGAAUUCCUAGUGUAGAGGUGAAAUUCGUAGAUAUUAGGAAGAACACCGGUGGCGAAGGCGGCCCACUGGUCCGGUACUGACGCUGAGGAGCGAAAGCGUGGGGAGCGAACAGG